AACGAACGCUGGCGGCAGGCUUAACACAUGCAAGUCGAACGCCCCGCAAGGGGAGUGGCAGACGGGUGAGUAACGCGUGGGAACGUACCUUUCAGUUCGGAAUAACUCAGGGAAACUUGUGCUAAUACCGGAUGCGCCCGCAAGGGGAAAGAUUUAUCGCUGAAAGAUCGGCCCGCGUUGGAUUAGCUAGUUGGUGGGGUAAAGGCCUACCAAGGCGACGAUCCAUAGCCGGCCUGAGAGGGUGAACGGCCACACUGGGACUGAGACACGGCCCAGACUCCUACGGGAGGCAGCAGUGGGGAAUCUUCCGCAAUGGACGAAAGUCUGACGGAGCAACGCCGCGUGGGUGAAGAAGGCCUUCGGGUUGUAAAACCCUGUCUUAUGGGAAGAAAAAAUAGACGGUACCAUAGGAGGAAGCCACGGCUAACUACGUG
rnacentral:rRNA from 1 species